GGAAUACUUAAUGUAUGGGCUGUAGUUAACGUAGGAAAUAGUUUACGUGUACAGAAUACUUAACGUACGGGCUGUAGUUAACCUAAGAAAUACUUUACGUGUACAGAAAAUUCUGCAGCAACAUAUAUGUAACUCUUUCUAUAAAUAAUGAAAGGAACCCAAGGGAAAAAGGGAUUCAGACCAAACUUGACAUGAUAUCAGAGCUUUUACUCUGAUUAUCGUUUCUUGGUGGUCUUUAUCCUUGAAAGUUUCUGAGUUGUGACAGUGGGUGAGUUUCUAAGUGUGUGGUGAUUGUUUUCUCACACGUCUGUUGAGUUCCAACUUGUGGGAUUGUUACCUUGGUGGCUUUGAGGCUGUCGGCAGGUUCUGUGUGGUGGUUUGCCGUGAUCUUGUUCUGGGCAGUGUAGUUUGGUGCUUGUCGGCAGUUUCUGAGGAGUUUCUGGUGGCUGAAGACGUGCGGGUAUCUCCUUUGGUGAGUAUCGACAACUUCUGUGGAAGUUUCUGGUGGAGUCCGAAAAUUUCUGGGUGCUUGUCAGCAGUUUCUGAAUAUUUUCUGGUGGAGUCCGAAAGUUUCUGGGUGCUAGACAGGUCCUUUUUUUUUUCUCUCCUGUUUGACUGGGGGAUUUUCUUGUUUUUUUGCCGUGGGAUUUUUCUCUGCUUGGUAUUUUUACGCUGGUUGAGAACUUGAGUGGGGUAUCAGGCCUUAUUUGACUGUCUUACUUGGAGUUAGCUCUUUAUUUUGUGAACUGGGCUAUUUGACCGUGGGCUGUUAUUUUUGGCCAUUUGUUCUGCUAUUUUUGACCUGCCUUGGUUUAUUGAUUAAAUUUGCUGUUUGGGCUUAUUUCUUUUAAAGUACUUUUUCAUCAUGUCUAUUGAAAAUACUAUUAUUCGCUUUAUUGGAAAGAAUUUUCCUACAUGAAAAUUUCAAUUUAAGAUGUUCUUGAAAGGAAAAGAAUUAUCGAAUCACAUUGAUAAUUCUGCUAACAUUCCAACUGAUGAAAAAGAAUUUGCUCAAUGGGGAAGUCAAGGAUGCCAAGGUAAUCUCUUGGCUAUUAGGGAUGAUUGAGUCUCACCUUGUGACCAAUCUUCGCUGUUUUACCACGGCUCAAGCUAUGUGGGACUAUCUCCAUCACAUUUAUCACCAGAAUCACAGUGCUCGAAAAUUCCAAUUGGAGGUGGAAAUCAGCAAUUAUACUCAAGGUAAUUUGACCAUUGAACAAUUUUAUUCUAGUUUUAUCUUUGGAGCGAGUAUUCUGCUAUUGUUCAUGCUAAGGUUCCCUCUACGGCCCUCGCGGCUCUUCAAGCGGUUCAUACUGAGUCAAAUUUUUGAUGAAACUUCGCCCUGAAUUGAGCCUGUUCGAGCUGGUUUAUUAAACCGUAGUUCGGCUCCUUCUUUGGAUAUUUGUUUGAGAGAUUUAUUACGUGAAAAACAACGGUUAUCCACUCGGAUGGGUAUGACUUCUGCGAAAGUCUUUUCUGAGGCUGUGAAUGUAGCCUAUGCAGCACAAGGGAGAGGGAGGAACAAGGUACAAUGUUUCAAUUGCAAGGAAUUUGGUCAUAUUGCCCCGGAAUUGCUCUAAGAAAGUUUGUAACUACUGCAAAAAAGAGGGUCAUAUCAUCAAAGACUGUCGAGUGCGACCUCAGAAUCGCCAAUCACAAGCUUUUGAAGUUGCUGUUCAAUCCUCUUCUCCUCCUUCUGCACCACCUAUUGUAAACUCUGAUUCAUCUGUUCUCACACCAGCAAUGGUCCAACAGAUGAUUGUGUCUGCUUUUACGGCCUUAGGCUUGCAAGGAUCUGGUGUCGGGGACGGUAAUCGCGAAGGGGCCUAAAGUGGGACGUUUAUUUCCUUUACAGUUUUCUAUUCCUAAUGUUGUUUCUCUUACUUGUACGGCUAUUGCCAAUACUAAUAAAGUCUGGCAUAAGAAAUUAGGUCAUCCUAAUUCUGUUGUCUUGGCUCAUCUUAUGAAACAUGGUUUUUUAGGCAAUAAAGAUUUCUUUUCCUUUUCUCCUGUAUCUUUUGAUUGUGCUACUUGUCGUCUUGGUAAAAGUAAAACUUUACCUUUUCCUGUGCAUGGUAGUCGUGCCUCUAAUUGUUUUGAGAUUGUGCAUACUGACGUUUGGGGUGAGUCCUGUUAUUUCUCAUGGUCAGUAUCGUUAUUUUGUCACAUUUAUUUAUGAUUAUAGUCGAUUCACUUGGAUAUAUUUUCUCCAUUCUAAAGCUGAUGUAUUUUCUGUCUUUCAAAAAUUUGUUGCGCUUGUCGAGACAAUUCCGUACUUGUAUCAAAACUUUACGCUCCGACUCAGGUGGGGAGUACAUGUCUCAUUCUUUUCAGAAUUUUCUUCAGCAAAAGGGGAUCAUUUCCCAACGUUCUUGUCCUUAUACUCCUCAACAAAAUAGAGUUGCUGAGCGUAAGAAUCGUCAUCUCUUAGAUGUCGUCUGUACUUUGUUGAUUGAUUCUUCUGUACCUUCUAAAUUUUGGGUAGAAGCUUUAUCUACUGCUGUUUAUUUGAUCAAUCGUUUGCCUACUGCCACUCUAGAUUAUGAUUCUCCCUAUUUUCGAUUAUUUGGCAUAUCCCCUGAAUAUCAAUCCUUUCAUAUUUUUGGGUGUGUUUGUUUUGUUCAUUUGCCUCCUGUUGAGCGUCAUAAGCUUGCUGCACAAUCUGUCACGUGUGCCUUUAUGGGAUAUAAUCCUACUCAGAAAGGAUUUAUUUGUUAUAAUACUCAUGCAAACAAAUUCCGAAUCUCACAGAAUGUGAUUUUCUUUGAAAAUCAAUAUUUUUUUCAAUCUCAAGUUAUUUCUGAUCCUCCUAUUACUCUUCUUCCUGCUUUUGAUGAUGUGUCCUCUUCUAUUGAGCGAUUUAAACCAGGUAGGAUGUAUCAUUGACAUCUUCCCCUGUAAUAUCCCAUAUGAUAAGGAUAUGGGUAGGUGGUGUAUGGGAUCCCACAUUGCUUGGGAAGGAAAAGUUUGUGCUCUUUAUACGGUUCCAAUGGGGCUCUAAUUGUAUCAUUGACUAGUCCUUUUGGAGUAUAGGCCAUGUGGUUUGGGCCUUCCAUUGGGGCGUUACAAAUAGUAUCAGAGCUUAUCUCAACCAGAAAUGUGGGACUUGAGCCGUGCCACCUACAACGGAUAGUCUCGACGAGGACGUCGGGAAUUUAAGGGGGGUAGACUGUAAUACCCCAUAUGAUAAGGAUAUGGGUAGGUGGUGUAUGGGAUCCCACAUUGCUUGGGAAGGAAAAGUUUGUGCUCUUUAUAAGGUUCCAAUGGAGCUCUAAUUGUAUCAUUGACUAGUCCUUUUUGGAGUAUAGGCCAUGUGGUUUGGGCCUUCCAUUGGGGCGUUACAUCCCCCUUCUUCCACGCCCCUUCCAGACACUGAUCCGUCAUCUAAUUUUGCGGUUCCUAUACCUCAGCACUCCACCCGAGCUACACAUCCACCAGGUAGGUAUGGUUUUCCUCAUAUCUCACUUACUGCCAUUCUCGACACUGUUUCUGUUCCUCACUCUUAUACCCAAGCAGCCACCCAAGUAUGUUGGCAGCAGGCCAUGCAAGAAGAAAUCCAAGCUCUUCAAGACAAUCACACUUGGGAUCUUGUGAUUUGUCCCUCUGGUGUUAAACUUAUUGGUUGUAAAUGGGUGUACUCAGUCAAGUUUCGAGCUGAUGGCUCACUGAGUAGAUAUAAGGCCCGUCUUGUGGUUCUUGAGAACCGACAGGAGUAUGGUAUUGAUUAUGAAGAGACAUUUGCACCUGUUGCCAAAAUGACUACUGUGCGGACUAUCUUGGCACUUGCUGCGUCGCAAGGGUAGUCUCUUCAGCAGAUGGAUGUAAAGAAUACUUUUCUACAUGGGGAUUUGAAGGAAGAAAUCUAUGUCUCCACCUCCCGGCAUAUUUACUAUACCUUCCUCAGAGGUUUGUCGGCUAUGCCGAUCCUUGUAUGGACUGAAACAGGCUCUACGUGCAUAGUUUGAUAAAUUUCACUCUACGCUACUUGCUUUUCA